rnacentral:rRNA from 1 species
AGAAUCAACGCUGGCGGCGUGCCUAACACAUGCAAGUCGCACGAGAAAGGGUAGCAAUACCUGAGUACAGUGGCGCACGGGUGAGUAACACGUGAAUGAUCUACCUCCGAGUGGGGAAUAACUGAGAGAAAUCUUAGCUAAUACCGCAUAAUACCCACGGGUCAAAGCAGCAAUGCGCUUGGAGAGGAGUUCGCGGCCGAUUAGUUAGUUGGCGGGGUAAUGGCCCACCAAGACGAUGAUCGGUAUCCGGCCUGAGAGGGCGCACGGACACACUGGAACUGAAACACGGUCCAGACUCCUACGGAGGCAGCAGUGGGGAAUUUUGCGCAAUGGGGGAAACCCUGACGCAGCAACGCCGCGUGGAGGAUGAAGCCCCUUGGGGUGUAAACUCCUUUCGAUCGGGAAGAUAAUGACGGUACCGAUAUAAGAAGCCCCGGCUAACUUCGUGCCAGCAGCCGC